rnacentral:rRNA from 1 species
UACGAAGGGGGGCUAGCGUUGCUCGGAAUCACUGGGCGUAAAGCGCACGUAGGCGGAUUGCUAAGUCAGGGGUGAAAUCCUGGAGCUCAACUCCAGAACUGCCUUUGAUACUGGCGAUCUUGAGUCCGGGAGAGGUGAGUGGAACUGCGAGUGUAGAGGUGAAAUUCGUAGAUAUUCGCAAGAACACCAGUGGCGAAGGCGGCUCACUGGGACGGUACUGACGCUGAGACGCGAAAGCGUGGGGAGCGAACGAGG